AAAAAUUGUUGUGUAACCCCAUGAUUCCUAGGCCUCAGCUGGUGGCCUGCUUAUUUCGAAUAAUAUUUAAUGCAAUAAAUUCUAGGGCAAUAAAAGAAUUUGGACAGUCCCUUAGAGCUUAUUGCAAUGGGAUUUUGACUUGAUUUUAAUAAAAUGAAAUUCCAGUAUCACCACAUAAUUUCUUUGUGGCAUGAUUUAAAAGGUCUUUAAGUACAGGUAUAGGAGAUUGAGUUUGUAAAAACUAAUCUGAGAUAAUUGCUGUUUUAUUCUUACCAAGUAAAUGAAUACUUCAGAAAUAUAGGAAUUCUCCUUAUUUAGCAUAAGAUGAUUUUUAAUAAUACAGCAAAGGAAAUGUAAGUGAACAACCCUACUUUUUGUACUGUUACGGAGAGAAUAAAGAUACCACCUGGCUGUAUGCAUAAGUUUGUUUCCUAAGUUGGUCAAUUUCCUGUAGAUGAGUAUUAAAAAUGACUUGUGAUACAGAAAACCUGUGGCAUCUAAGUAUUAUUAUGAUACCAUGCUACCUGCUAAUGAAGAUUUUUGUGUGUUUUUUUAAAAAAUAAAAUUGUUUUUACUCAUUCACAUUCAAGAGUCUUACAGUAAAGUCAGCCAUAGACCAAAUAUUUGGAACUUACUGAGUUGAUAAAAAUGAAAGAAAAACAAGUUUUUGGUAGUUAAGAAAACCGGAAUGUCAGUGUUAGAAAAAUAUGGUCGUAGUCUUGUACUCUGGAGUCUUUAUCUCAAGCCAAUGACUUUUAAGUCUUUUGUUUUCUGUACUGAUGCAGAAUAGUGAAAAUGUUUUUAUAGAAAGUUAUGAAAAAAAAAGUCUACGUAUUAAUUUGCUUUGGGUCAUUCUAAUCUCUUUGGUAAAUUCAUAAUUAGGAAGGCGUUUUUAAGACUGUGUUCUAGUCUCACAGGUACACAGCUACUCCAUAUCUGGUAAAUCUAAAUUCAUAUGUGAGGAGGUUGUGUUUUUUUAAAGCAUAUUAUUUACACAAUUCACUAGAAUGGCUCCUUUGGAAGUUGGGUGGCUCUCUUAUGUAAUUAUGUGCUUAGUAACCCUGCACUACACAGCAGUAGAAAUUCAAGUAAGAAUAAUUUACUGCUUAUGCAUAGUUAUUAGAAUUUUAAAGCAUUUGUUUGUUCAAAAUUCUAGUCAGUGUUAUAUUUGACUAAUUGCAUACUUAAUAAAUACUAAUGAAUAAAUUUUAUUUUAGAAGUAGCCAGGUUUGAAUUCUAACAAUUAAAUAAGCGUCAGGAGAUAACUUCCUCCUCUCCCCCUUUACCUUAUUGUUUAAAAGCAUUUCCGUACAUUUGGUCCAGAUUUUGUGGCGAAAGUAGUAAUUCCUGUAAAAAAUAUCCAUACUAGAAGAAUAGUAGAUGGACUUAAAUCAUAGAAUUAUGGAAUUUUAUUGCUGUAAGGUACUGUUAGAAAUAUUUUAUCUAAGUAUAGUUGAUUUACAGUGUUCUUUAAUUUCUGUUGUACAGCAAAGUGACCCAAUCACACACAGUUCUCUUUGUUAUACGGUAGGGCCCCACUGCCCAUCCAUUCCAGAUAUAACACUUUGAACCCAGAAACCCCAAAUUGCCCAUUCAUCCCACUUCCCUCCCCCGCCGCCCCCACUGGGAACCACAGGUGUGUUCUCCUUGGCCAUGAUCUGCUUCUGUUUUGUAGUUAAGAUCAUUUGUGCCAUAUUUUAGAUUCCACAAAUAAAUGAUAUCAUAUGGUAUUUGUCUUUUUCCUUCUGGCUUACUUCCCUUAGUAUUAGAAUCUUUAGUUCCAUCCAUGUUGCUGCCAAUGGCAAUUAGUUUGUUAUUUUUAUGGCUGAAUAGUAUUACCUUGUACAUACGUACCACACUUAAGCCGUUCAUCUGUUGAUGGACAUUUAGGUUGUUUCCAUGUCUUGGCUCUUGUGAAUAGUGCUGUAGUGAACAUAGGGGUGCAUGUAUCUUAGAAUGAAUGUUUUGUCUGGAUAUAUGCCCAGGAGUGGGAUUGCUGGAUCAUGUGGUAGGUGUAUAUUUAGUUUUCUGAGGUACCACCAUACUGUUUUCCAUAGUGUUUAUACCAAUUUACAUUCCUACCCACAGUGAAGGAGGGUAGUACCCUUUUAUCCACAGCCUCUCCAGCUUUUGUUAUUUGUUGAUUUGUUAAUGAUGGCCAUUCUGACUGGUGUGAGGUGGUAACUCCUUGUAGUUUUGAUUUGCAUUUCUCUACUAAUUAGUGAUGUUGAGCAUUUUUUCACGUGCCUUUUGGCCAUCCUUGUGUCUUUUUUGGAGAAGUGUCUAUUUGGGCCUUCUGCUCAUUUUUCAAUUGGGUUGUUUGUUUUUUUGUUGUUGAGUUGUAUGAGUUAUUUGUAUAUUUUGGAGAUUAGGCUCUUAUCUGUUGCAUUGUUUGCAAAGAUUUUCUCCCAUUCUGUGGGUUGUCUUUUCAUUUUUUUAAAUGGUUUCCUUUGCUGUGCAAAAGCUUUUGAGUUUAAUUAGGUCCCAUUGGUUUAUUUCCGUGUCUGCAACCUACACCACAGCUCAGGGCAAUGCCGGAUCCAUAACCCACUGAGCAAGGCCUGGCAUCGAACCUGCAUCCUCCUGGAUGCUAGUCAGAUUCGUUAACCACUGAGCCAUGAUGGGAACUCCAUAGAAGAAUAAAAUUUUAGAAAGAUAAAUUCAUCGGUGGGUUCAGUGCUUGUUGAAGUUGUCUUCCACAAUCUGCCUGCUGCUAUUCACUUUUCAGAGUCCUUAGUACCAUUCUGUCCAUUUUUAGUAGUUACAUUUAGUGGGAGAUAGGAGAGUGUCUGCUUUUUCCAUUUUACCUGGAACCAGAACCCUUUCUAGUUUCUUUUUAGUAUUCAUUGAUAGCUAAUUGAAUGACAUGGUUUUUGCAAGUUCAGUCCUUUGAAAUUUGUUGAUACUUGCUUCAUGGCCCCUAAGCUCUGUUUGGUAAGUGUAGCAAAUGUGCUUAAACAGUUGCAGUUCUUGGGUAUAGUGUUCCAAAUAAGUCCUUAGGUCAGGUUCAUUAAUGGGUUCUUCAAAUUCUUUUUUGCUUAUUCUAUCAAGUAGCUGAAGGAGAGGGUGCUGAGAAUAGAUUUGUGUGUUCUCUCUUUAGUUCUGUGUAUUUUCCUUAUUAAAUUUUGAAAUUCUUGGAGUUUCCAUUGUGGCUCAGUGGUUAACGAAUCCUACUAGGAACCACGAGGUUGUGGGUUUGAUCCCUGGCCUUGCUCAGUGGGUUAAGGAUCC
rnacentral:lncRNA from 1 species